AAAAGUAUUGUAGUCUUAAUUUGUAUACAUCAAAGGAAGUGGGGUGAAAAUCCCCCGCUAACCCGUAACUGUGAAAGGCUUUGCUUUAUGGCAAAACCAUAAGCCAGGAACUUUGAGUAUGCCGGAACCCCAUC
rfam:Treponema azotonutricium ZAS-9, complete genome.